rnacentral:rRNA from 1 species
CAGUCGCCGCGGGAAAACGAAGGGUGCAAGCGUUACUCGGAAUUACUGGGCGUAAAGCGUGCGUAGGUGGUGGUUUAAGUCCGUUGUGAAAGCCCUGGGCUCAACCUGGGAAUUGCAGUGGAUACUGGGUCACUAGAGUGUGGUAGAGGAUAGUGGAAUUUCCGGUGUAGCAGUGAAAUGCGUAGAGAUCGGAAGGAACAUCUGUGGCGAAGGCGACUAUCUGGGCCAACACUGACACUGAGGCACGAAAGCGUGGGGAGCAAACAGGAUUAGAUACCCCAGUAGUCCCUGUCGCUUAUAC